rnacentral:rRNA from 1 species
CUUGAGUAGUAUUAGUUAUGAUCUUGAAACUUAAAAAAUUUGGCGGUAUUUUAGUCUAUUCAGAGGAACCUGUUCUGUAAUCGAUAAUCCACGAUGGACCUUUCUUAAAUUUGUAACCAGUUUAUAUACCGUCGUUAUUAGAAUAUUUUAUAAGAAAAAUAAUUUUCUAUAAUUUUUAUUAAAAUUUAUAUCAGAUCAAGGUGUAGCUUAUAUUUAAGUAGAAAUGGGUUACAAUAAAAGUAUUUAUAUGAAUAUAAAGAUGAAACCUUUAUUGAAAGUGGAUUUGAUAGUAAAAUUAUAAAGAUUAAUAAUUUGACCUUAGCUCUAAAAUAUGCACACAUCGCCCGUCGCUCUUAUUAUUAAGAUAAGAUAAGUCGUAACAUAGUAGAAGUACCGGAAGGUGUUUCUAGAAUGACAAUUUAAAGCUUAUUAAGUAAAGUAUUUCAUUUACAUUGAAAAGAUUUUUGUGCAAACCAAUAUAAAUUGAUUAAAUUUUAUUUAUUUACUUAUUUGUUUGUUUAAAUUAUAAUUUAUUAAAAAUAAUUAUAAUGUAUAAUGUUUUAGUAUUGUAUAAAGAAAAAAUAAAUUUAAUAAUAGUUUAUUAGUAUCGUGAGAGAAUAUUGAAAUAAUUUGAAAAA